GCCUAGAGACCGGAUGAAACCAGACAUUAAAACUGAAACUCGUUCUAGCCUGCGAGAAAGAAAGAAGUAAUUGGAAACAAUCGUCGGAAAAAUAUUAGCAAGAUUCUGAAAAAUAUCGUGAUGAUCACAAUUUGGCUUUUUUGAAACCAUUCAAAAACUCCCUGCAGCCGGAGUAACACGAGGAAACACCUGCCAGCUUAAUUCCAGCCAAACUCGGAGGUUUUUGGAACCGAGCAGGGGCGGCGCCAGAUAACUUUUCAUAAUAAUAUUUUUUUUAUAGCGCUUUUCUAAAUACCCAAAGUCGCUUUACAAGUGUGAGGACAAGCAAAACAAGACAACAGUAAAAUAUAAAGACAAAGGAUUGAACAAAACAAACAGAACAUUAUAUGCAGGUGCUGAGGGGGUGCUGGAUCAUUGACAGGGGGAGCUGCGCAAUUAUAUAUAUAUAUAAUUUUAUAUAAAAUACUAUUAAUAAAUUAGCUAAACUUGGCCACUCGUGAGGCUAAUUUGAAUGGAACUGCAGUUGUGCUAGCUGCCGUCUCUGCAUCCGCUGCAAACGCAGCGGACUGCUCCGUGUCAGACUCAAUCAACAUCCGAUUCCCCAAUCGGAUUUUACAGAAGUAAUUUUUUGGGGUGCUAUCGGGGUGCUUUGGUCUUUCAUGCGGGUGCUGAAGCACGUGCUAGCCCCUCCCUAGGCUGCUGAAAAGCAGCGGAAGCUCCAGAGGGUUUCAUCCUGGUUUAUGCCGGUCAUGGUGUUAACGAGUGUCUUGCAGUGCUGAUUCGUCAUCCAUCAAGAUGCUGGUCCUGAUGACUACACUUCUAUCAGGCCAGUGGCCUUUUGGUUCUUGUAGUUCUUAAUGACAGAUUUAUGUAGUUUUCCUAUGCAGUAUAAACUGAACUAAGCUUUGGGCUAGACUGUCCUUUUAUUUACAAGUUCACACAUACAUAUUAGAAACAGGUGCACCAAACAAACUCAACAUGUGUUCUUGUAUAUUGACCACAGGACUGUGUGCCUUCUCCUCAAGCCUUCCUCAUCAGUACCACCUUGUUAACGAACCAAAGACCUGGACUGAAGCCCAGAGAUACUGCAGACACUGACCUGGCCACCAUGUUCUUAGCCAAUGUGUUUAUUAAUGAAUACAUCUAUCAAUCGUUUAACUUCCUGUAGCAAUAUUUACAGACUUGUAGUGGAAAUAAGUUAUCUACUAGUUUAGGCCUCAUUUGUUCAGAACUUUCUUUGUAAAUAUUGUAUGACAUUCUUGAAUGCAAAAUGUUCUUCAUAACGAAUUAUUUUACUGAUUAAUAAACGUAUAAACAAAUU